rnacentral:rRNA from 1 species
GACGAACGCUGGCGGCGUGCCUAAUACAUGCAAGUAGAACGCUGAAGGAGGAGCUUGCUUCUCUGGAUGAGUUGCGAACGGGUGAGUAACGCGUAGGUAACCUGCCUGGUAGCGGGGGAUAACUAUUGGAAACGAUAGCUAAUACCGCAUAAUAGUAGAUGUUGCAUGACAUUUGCUUAAAAGGUGCAAUUGCAUCACUACCAGAUGGACCUGCGUUGUAUUAGCUAGUUGGUGGGGUAACGGCUCACCAAGGCGACGAUACAUAGCCGACCUGAGAGGGUGAUCGGCCACACUGGGACUGAGACACGGCCCAGACUCCUACGGGAGGCAGCAGUAGGGAAUCUUCGGCAAUGGACGGAAGUCUGACCGAGCAACGCCGAGGGAGUGAAGAAGGUUUUCGGAUCGUAAAGCUCUGUUGUAAGAGAAGAACGAGUGUGAGAGUGGAAAGUUCACACUGUGACGGUAUCUUACCAGAAAGGGACGGCUAACUACGUG